rnacentral:tRNA from 1 species
UGGCUCAGUUGAUAGAGCAAGGUGUUUGCAACGCCAGGGUUGUGGGUUUGAUUCCCAC